rnacentral:rRNA from 1 species
UACGUAGGCAGCGAGCGUUGUUCGGAAUUACUGGGCGUAAAGAGUGUGUAGGCGGUGCUCUAAGUUCGGUGUGAAAUCUCCCGCUUAACUGGGAGGUGCGCCGGAAACUGGAGUGCUCGAGCGUGGGAGAGGAAAGCGGAAGUUCCUGGUGUAGCGGUGAAAUGCGUAGAUAUCAGGAGGAACACCUGCGGUGUAGACGGCUUUCUGGACCAUUGCUGACGCUGAGACACGGAAAGCGUGGGGAGCAAACAGG